CAAAGAUUAAUCAUUUUUCUGCUUAAAAAAAAUGGCUUUGAUUUGCAACCAUGGAAUGCUCCACUGUUUCUCUUCUCUUCAAAGACAUCUACUGAAAGGAUUCCUUAACCUUACCAAGUGGCCAAAAUACUUUUCUGAGAAGAGUCACAGAGCAUAGGCCCCCCUAGGGUACACAGAGAUUUCAUUAGUCCCUAGAUGUUUCCUGAUCCUUUUAAAAACUGGUUAAAUUCAGAGACUCUAGGCAAUUACUUCUUUCAGAACCUGUGAGGCAAAAACGAAAGAAGAAGGCAGGACACGCAGUGUAACAAACCUUGGAAUGAUUGGUCUGAGGACUCCGCUUUCUUCACUGCCCAUUCAUCUUCAUACUGUUCUCAUAUUUUUUUUUAAAUUGGGAUAUGCAAUGAUCCUUAGUUUAUAAAUUCAACUCCACUUUGCCACA
rnacentral:lncRNA from 1 species